UGUGUAGGCGGUUCUUUAAGUUUGGUGUGAAAUCUCCCGGCUCAACUGGGAGGGUGCGCCGAAUACUGAGGGACUAGAGUACGGGAGAGGAAAGUGGAAUUCCUGGUGUAGCGGUGAAAUGCGUAGAUAUCAGGAGGAACACCGGUGGUGUAGACGGCUUUCUGACCGUAACUGACGCUGAGACACGAAAGCGUGGGUAGCAAACA
rnacentral:rRNA from 1 species